rnacentral:rRNA from 1 species
CCUANGGGGGGCUGCAGCAACGAAUAUUCCGCAAUGCGCGAAAGCGUGACGGAGCGACGCCGCGUGUAGGACGAAGCCCCUCGGGGUGUAAACUACUGUCAGGAUUGAGCAAACGAGAGGCUCGAAUAGAUCCUGUAGUUGAGCUAGUCCAGAGGAAGCCACGGCUAACUCUGUGCCAGCAGCCGCGGUAAGACAGAGGUGGCAAGCGUUGCUCGGAAUUACUGGGCUUAAAGGGUGUGUAGGCGGUCGGUUAAGCAUUCUGUGAAAGCCCUCGGCUCAACCGAGGAACAGCAGGAUGUACUGGCGGACUUGAGGCGCGUAGAGGUCACUGGAACUCUGGGUGGAGCGGUGAAAUGCGUAGAUAUCCAGGGGAACGCCAAUGGCGAAGGCAGGUGACUGGGCGCGUCCUGACGCUGAGGCACGAAAGCGUGGGGAGUGAACGGGAUUAGAUACCCUGNUANUC